rnacentral:RNase_P_RNA from 1 species
GGAGCGGACUGGGUGAUCGCCGGCCGCGGCAGGCCGCCGGCUUCGGUCGGCACCCGCCGCGGCGGGAGGAAAGUCCGGGCUCCGCAGGGCACGAUGGUGGGUAACGCCCACCGGCCGUGAGGUCAGGGACAGUGCCACAGAAAGUAAACCGCCGGCGGGGCUCGUUCCCGCAGGUAAGGGUGAAACGGUGAGGUAAGAGCUCACCAGCAGGCCGGGUGACCGGUCUGGCUCGGCAAACCCCAUCGGGAGCAAGGCCAAGCAGGAAGAAGUUCGUCCGCGGGUCCUCGGAACCGCGGGCGGCGCGAGGCGGUCCGCCUCGCCCCCGCUUCCGGGUCGGCUGCUUGAGACCCCGGGCAACCGGGGUCCUAGAGAAAUGGUCGCCGCCCGCCGCCUCGUGCGGCGGGGACAGAACCCGGCUUACAGGUCCGCUCCAGUU